rnacentral:rRNA from 1 species
CCUACGGGUGGCAGCAGUGGGGGAUAUUGCACAAUGGGGGGAACCCUGAUGCAGCGACGCCGCGUGGGUGAAGAAGCGCCUCGGCGCGUAAAGCCCUGUCAGCAGGGAAGAAAAUGACGGUACCUGAAGAAGAAGCCCCGGCUAACUACGUGCCAGCAGCGGCGGUACUACGUAGGGGGCAAGCGUGAUCCGGAUUUACUGGGUGUAAAGGGGGCGCAGACGGGGAUGCAAGCCAGGAGUGAAAGCCCGGGGACCAACCCCGGAACUGCCCUUGGAACGGCGUGGCUGGAGUGCAGGAGGGGCAGGCGGAAUGCCUGGUGUAGCGGUGAAAUGCGUAGAUAUCAGGAGGAACACCGGUGGCGAGGGCGGCCUGCUGGACUGCAACUGACGUUGAGGCCCGAAAGCGUGGGGAGCAAACAGGAUUAGAUACCCGUGUAGUC